rnacentral:rRNA from 1 species
CCUACGGGAGACAGCAGUGAGGGAUAUUGGUCAAUGGGGGAAACCCUGAACCAGCAACGCCGCGUGAGGGAAGACGGUUUUCGGAUUGUAAACCUCUGUCCUCUGUGAAGAUAAUGACGGUAGCAGAGGAGGAAGCUCCGGCUAACUACGGGCCAGCAGCCGCGGUAAUACGUAGGGAGCAAGAGUUGUCCGGCUUUACUGGGUGUAAAGGGUGCGGAGGAGGCUUUUCAAGUAAGAAGUGAAAUCCAUGGGAUUAACCCAUGAACUGCUUUUGAAACUGCAGAGCUUGAGUGGAGUAGAGGUAGGCGGAAUUCCCGGUGUAGCGGUGAAAUGCGUAGAGAUCGGGAGGAACACCAGUGGCGAAGGCGGCCGACUGGGCUCUAACUGACGCUGAGGCACGAAAGCGUGGGUAGCAAACAGGAUUAGAUACCCGAGUAGUC